UCAGCCUCCCAUUGGCAGAGGUGCUUGUCAAUGACUGUCAUGAGAUGAAAGCUGAAACCAGGCAUCUGACCUCUACGUGACCAAGGCAGGUUUAUGGCAAGCACGUGUUCGGCUGUUAUGGCUGCCAAAAGGGAAGCCGGUUCCUUCACUUUGAUGGAAACAAUUUGGGCCCAAAACAGGUACCCCAGCUCCACCACCACAUACAUGGACUGUCAGCAAGUAUGCUUCUACUACUAGACAUGUCCAUGGUGUGAUCUACAGAGAAACAGGACUUCUCACUGCUGGAAAAAAGAAGAUUAAGAAUCUUGGCUUCCUCGAGGCUAUUUGGCUUCCCCUUUACUCCUGGGGUGCAGAUCAGGC
rnacentral:lncRNA from 1 species